rnacentral:lncRNA from 1 species
CACCACCUUCUUUGCGAGAUGGUUAGCCCUCCUGGGGGUCGGUUUCUGGAAGGCCCAGGGGGAUGAACCACCAGUCACCUACCCACUGCAGCGGCAGUUCUGGAGACUGCGAGGACGAGGAGUUUAGGGACCACCCGGAAUGGGUCUUCUGGGGCAGGCCCCUUAUACCCUUUCCUCUCAGUGACCAUUCAGCAGGGCGCCAGACAUUGACAAUAUUUUAAAAUGUUCACAAACCUUUCCUGGCAAAUGGUUCCUGACAAACUCGCCAAUAAGCCCCGCCCUUCCUUAUUGUUAUUAAUAAUAAUUUUGUUAAUUCCGGUUUUCAUAGCUUUCAGAUUGGUGUCGGAUGGCUCGGCAAGAGGGCCUUAACUGGAGACUUCUAGCUCUGUGUGUGUGUGUGUGUGUGUGUGUGUGUGUGUGGUGAGGGGCUCUUCAUUCUGUUCUGGGCACUAGAACGUGUCUUUCCUCACCAGGGUGGGGCCAGGCACAUACAGGAGAGCUCUCUUCCGGUUUGUGGAGUCUCCUAUUGUCUCUCCUGGACAAAUGCAGGAUGUUCAGAGGGCACCUCUGAGCCUCAUCUUCUUGCUUCUCCCUUUGCAGAGAAAAUAGGGUGAAAUAAGAAUCAAUUCUGUUUGCUUUACCCCAUUCUGAUGACCUCAAUCUGAUUCUAAUUGGCUGUUCCUUAUAGCAUUUUCCAAACUAGUGCCACAAGACCUGUGAUUAGUUCUGACCAGAUUAAAUCCUUCCCUUUCUUAUUGUAGCUCUUUAAUAUACUGUCUUUGGACAUUUAAAAUGGAAAGAAAUUAGUACAAUUUUGUGUGUUACCUUUUUUUGUAUGAUGUGUCCCUCAUCUCCCAGGGAAAAUGCCAGAAAAAAGAGAACUUGAAUAGAAGGCAAAAACGCUCAAAUAGUGCUUGCUCCUGUUUCAGAAUCAUGAACUAGUCAAAUCUAAUUUUUCUUUUAUUUUUUUUUUGUCUUCUAAACCUACCUGUUUGUGUGCUUCUAUCACCUCCAUUUUACCUUUGCUGUGAUUUGAAAAAGAGUCAGACAUAUUGGCUCUGCAUAUCUAGAGCAUCUUGGUUUCUACUGCAUCUUCAUCCACUAUCACUGCCUACCAGAAAUGGGCUAAUGACACAGAAUUGAAAGCAUUCUAAUAAAAGUGUGACCUUUCUAAGCUCUUUUUCUGUUGAAUAUCAG